ensembl:antisense 4930563H07Rik RIKEN cDNA 4930563H07 gene
AUGCUGCCUGAGUGACAGUCCUGGAAACUGACAUAACUAAGGACUAGCAAUAUCACCUUGACUAUGUCUUUCAGGUCUCAACUAUGAGUUGGGAAAGAUAACAGCAGCAUGCUCUGCACAUGGCAAACCCUGGAGUUGCUGAGAGACACAACCCUCAGAGUGAAUACAGUGUUUGAGACAAUGCCAGCCUUCUGGAAGCACCCAGUGUCAAUCAGUUCUUCCUUUUCUAAAGAGAAUCCCAGUGACACAAUAUGGAUCCCAGCAGAUUGGAGAUUCUGAGAACUGCAGACUCUCUGGACUGAGUUAUGCGAUGGAAAGCCAGUUGUCUUCAGGCUUCUGUUGUUAUAGACAGCGAUGCAGCGAAUCAGCACACACACUGGGCAUGAGUUGGAGAGGCUAGAAGGACACCCAAAAGGGUUUUCUCUGCGGGAGAGCAUUUAUCAGCCAGGAACGCCAUGAGUCACAGCAGCGGAGCCUUGGUCCUCACUGACUAUGAAGCACUUCUGUUCUGGAAAGGCAGGGGCCUGGGCUGACAGCAAAAUUCCCUUUUGAAUGCAACCAAUUUAGUGUGACUGUUCAAAGUGCAGACUCUGGGCUCAAGCUGCCUGGGAUAAAGUCCUGGGAAGUC